AUGAUUAAGGAUAUGGCGGGAAGAACGGAUGACACAUUCUUUAUGGCCUGGCUUGCGGUUGCAUUCAGCACUUUUCUAGCACCAACCACAACCCUGAAGCUGAGCCCAAAGUGCUACGGACUUGUGCUAGACCAUGAAAUGCUCAAGAACAUAAACAUCCGCCUCUUUGUAGCAGAACACAUAAAUGAAGCUUUUCGGAACAUGGACCAGAACAAAAAAACCGUUUGUUUCUGCUUGUAUCACUUGAUGAUCCUAUACCUUGAUGCACUCGUUCAUGACAUCCUAGUAAGCAACUGCGCGAUACGAGCGAAUGCAUGGGAUAGUAGCCUAAUUGCCAAGGUGAUCAAGAAGGACUCGAUCUCUCCUGGUGUGUUCGGCAAAUUACAACUUAAAGAGGAGUAUAGGGGCAUGGAGCAGACACCACUGUUUGGUGGUCUUUUGCAAGCUGAAGCAUUUGUGGCAUCCAAGUUGCCAAUAACCUACAACCCGUAG
rnacentral:rRNA from 1 species